ACACACAUGUUGAAAUAUAUUCUGAUAAUACAGAUGCUUUUUUUCUAGUAAAGUUGAUUGGACAUGGUGCAGCAUAAAUGGUGCCAAUAGAUUUGAAUGAUGUCCGAUUACAAAAUGUUGUGGUUCGGUAACCGGAAUGGGUGAAUUUCGUUUUGGUGGAGAGCAAAUAUAAUUGUAUUUUGUGCAUUCUCUCUGUUUAUACGUUCUCCGAAUCUUUAAAGCUGCGUUAAUUUUAAUCAUCCAAAUAUGUGUCUUGUGCAAGAAGGUAUAUAUUUUUUAUCACCGAUUUCAGCAUUUAUUAUAGACAUAUUACUUCUCAACACUUAACAAAAACAUCUUAGUUUAUGCAGGUACUUAUAAUUGUUUAUAAAUCAUAUUACUUACAUAUAAUACACAUAUACUAUAUAAAGACAUCGUCUAAUAUCACCAUAAACUUAUUAAUGCUCGAUAGUAGAAUGUAUACAACCCGAUUCAUAACCCUCCUAGAUUUCAAGGGCUUUCAUUUUACUCUUUUCAGUUUUAGUAUGUUAUUAUUUAGUAAAUUAUCUACAAUUUACUUGACCCACAAAAUUAUAUAUAUUCUGGUAUUUAUAUUAAGCACAUUAAAUUGCAAACUACUACUUGUACUAAAAACCAUCAAGUGUACUCAAAUUGGAAAUAAAUAGGCGAUGGCUAUACAAUAUGACAUAUGUAUAUGUAUGUAUAUCGACAAAUUAAAUAAAACACAUUUAAAUGAGUUGUCAAGUGAGCACCUGGCUUAAGUACCAACAUUAAACUUUUUAUCAAACAUGAUUUUGCUAACUUUUAAGCCGAAAUUAGACAAAUAUUUUAGUUUACUAAUAUUUGUGAACUCGUACAACGGCUCAACAGCGGUGAAAACUUUCAUGCAACACAUUUACCUCGGCCAUGAAUACAUACAUACUUAUGUAUUAAUGUGCACCAUACUUGAUCGGAAAGGCGUAAUAGGAGCUAUCUGGUGUAUGCUGGAAGGGAAGAGAAACAUUUGACAAUUACCCAAGCCUUUUUCUAUGGAAUUCACUUUAAAUAAUAAGAUCAAUUGCAAAAAAUAAACACACAAUUUGAUUUUGAUCAGUCACAUUUUCAAUAUUCUCGAAUUAAAACAUAUGCACGUCAGUUAAUUAUUAAAAUCAAGUCAAAUGGAAUUAUUAAUGAAAAAUGCAGAACACAACGCGAAACACACAAUAGAGAAGCACAAGGCGAUGAAGCAACGAACUAAACGAACGACAGCAAAGAAGAAUUGUACGAGCGGACAAAUGAACGACGCAGGGAAUGCAGCAGAGAAUUUAAUACAUACAUAUGUACAUAUGUAUGAAUGAAUGUAUGUGCAAUAUGAUUAUACAUUCUCUGCUGUCAGCAUAAAAACCUCGAACUCUAAAAAAACGUAUCUAUAUGUAUGGUGUAGCAGUCGUAAUCAUAUAAAAAGGGUUUAUAUAGAGAGUUUUAUUUCAUAGAAAAAAGUUUUUCGGUUGCUUCUUUUAAUUACGUUAUGUGAAUUCUGCACACUUUGACGUCUGCUGCGCUGCAAUCGGCAUGUUGCUCCGAUUAUAAGUGAGCGAGUGUGUAAGCCAUAUGUUACAUCGUGGGAAAAUUCCUCCGAGCGUGGGAAAAUUUGGUGUCGGCAAUAUUUGUCCCACUCGCACGAAAAUAAAGGAAAUUUUUUUAGUACACUUUCGUAGGGUAAUAACGGGGGCCCUAUUCUGUAACUCGAUUCGAAAAUGUAUUCUAUUCGAAAUUCGGAUCUAAUUUAUAAUUAUACGAAAGUUGUACCACCCUGUGCCAGAAUAAAUACGUACAAUUUUCGUUUUUGUUUUCUACAACUCAAAAGCUAUCGAAUAUUUUAUCCGAAAAUUGGCUUGAAAAUCCGAAAAUCGAAUUACAGAAUAUACAAAAUGCGAAUUCGAGUACAUUUUUUUUCGAAUCGAGUUACAGAAUAGGCCCCCGGGUGAUUUUUUUGAGGUUAGGAUUUUCAUGCAUUAGUAUUUGACAGAUCACGUGGGAUUUCAGACAUGGUGUCAAAGAGAAAGAUGCUCAGUAUCUCAGUAUAUACAGUAGACAACCUUUGCUUUGUUUACAUACUUAUACUCACCUCUAUCAAAUCUUAGGGUUUUGUGUAACACUUUUUUUGCUACUUUCAUGGUAAUCAGGGUGUUGUGUUAGCAUUUGAGCUACAUAUAAAUUUUAAAUUUUGAUCAUCACCACUUUAAAAUAUAUUAAAUAAUGCAAGUGUUUACGUUAUUUAAGUGAUUAUAUUGAAUUACUUUGAGUAUCUGUUCAAUUUUAUUGGGAUAUUACUUGUUGUUUAAUGUUAAAUCAGUUGUUUUUUUGUGUGCAAUUUUAAAACACGCUUCAAGUAUUUCUAUAUUUUUGCAUGCAGUAGGAUACAAUCCUGGGUGGUAAUUUGUCGUUUGACAUAUGUAUACAAAGUGACAAUUAGAAAAAUAUCAAUUACAAAGUGAUUUAUUGUUUAUUAUUAUUAUUAUAUUUAGUGUGUAUUUUAUAAUAUAUAUAUUUUGUAUAAGUGUUUUUGCUGAAAAGCAAGAUAAAGAAGAAUGCCGAAAUCAUGUGUAUGUAGAUGCGCAGGAGCUGAAUCCUUCUACAAAUUCCCAUCGGAACGAGAAUUAGCAAGGCAGCCUUUCCACCAAUACAAACUACCCAAGUGAAGUGGUUAUGUUUUUUUUCGGGAUGGCCUACGGAAUACAGUUUUAGUUAAGAACUUUUUUUAAGUAUAAUGAAAACUGUAUUAGUUUUAAUUAGGUUAAAGAACAAAUGGCUAACAAAAUUUUUUUUACGAAAAUGUUUAAUUAUAAAUAUAAUUCUUUAAGUAAAUAUUAUAUUAACUUAUAAGAGCGUAGUUAUACAAAAUAUGACCACAUGUUACUUUUAAAUUAUCAAUACCAUAAAUAGUAUUAAUUAC